ACAACAUCGCGAGGUGAAGCAAAUCCCAAAAAAGUGUCUCAGUUCAGAUUGUAGUCUGCAACCCGACUACAUGAAGCUGGAAUCGCUAGUAAUCGCGAAUCAGAAUGUCGCGGUGAAUACGUUCCCGGGUCUUGUACACACCGCCCGUCACACCAUGGGAGCCGGAAAUGCCCGAAGUCUGUGACUCAACCGAGAGGGGAGAGCAGCCGAAGGUGGAGCUGGUAACUGGGGUGAAGUCGUAACAAGGUACC
rnacentral:rRNA from 1 species